rnacentral:rRNA from 1 species
UACGUAGGGCGCAAGCGUUGUCCGGAAUUAUUGGGCGUAAAGAGCUCGUAGGCGGUCUGUCGCGUCUGCCGUGAAAACCCGAGGCUUAACCUCGGGCUGGCGGUGGAUACGGGCAGACUAGAGGUAGGUAGGGGAGAAUGGAAUUCCCGGUGUAGCGGUGAAAUGCGCAGAUAUCGGGAGGAACACCGGUGGCGAGGGCGGUUCUCUGGGCCUUACCUGACGCUGAGGAGCGAAAGCGUGGGGAGCGAACAGG